AUUGAACGCUGGCGGCAGGCCUAACACAUGCAAGUCGAACGAGUGGCGGACGGGUGAGUAAUGUCUGGGAAACUGCCCGAUGGAGGGGGAUAACUACUGGAAACGGUAGCUAAUACCGCAUACCAUCGGAUGUGCCCAGAUGGGAUUAGCUUGUAUGUGAGGGAACGGCUCACCUCGGCGAGGAUCCCUAGCUGGUCUGAGAGGAUGACCAGACACACGUGAACUGAGACACGGUGCAGACUCCUACGGGAGGCAGCAGUGGGGAAUAGGGCACAAUGGGCGAAAGCCUGAUGCAGCCAUGCCGCGUGUAUGAAGAAGGCCGUCGAGUUGUAAAGUACUUGCAGCGGGGAGGCGUUACCCGCAGAAGAAGCACCUGCUAACUCCGUGCCAGCAGCCGCGGUAAUAC
rnacentral:rRNA from 1 species